rnacentral:tRNA from 1 species
GCCGAGGUGGCGGAACUGGCAGACGCGGUGGACUUAAACUCCACUGAGGGCGACCCCCUCGUGCGGGUUCGAGCCCCGCCCUCGGCACCC